GACAGAGGGUGCAAACGUUGCUCGGAAUUACUGGGCGUAAAGCGCGUGUAGGCGGUCACGCAAGUCAGGGUGUGAAAGCCCAGGGCUCAACCCUGGAAGUGCACAUGAUACUACGUGGCUGGAGUACUGAAGAGGAGAGCGGAAUUCCCGGUGUAGAGGUGAAAAUUCGUAGAUAUCGGGAGGAACACCAGUGGCGAAGGCGGCUCUCUGGGCAGAUACUGACGCUGAGACGCGAAAGCGUGGGUAGCAAACAGG
rnacentral:rRNA from 1 species